GCUUUAUCUUAAUUGGAGCUCUCAGGCUCUUAUACGAUUUUGAUGGGAGAUCAGUAGAAAGAAGUCUUCUACUAUCAUAUUAAUCUUACUAGUAUUUCCUAACUUUAUAUGUGUGGCUAGCUACUCUAGGGAUAACAGCGCAAUUUCUCCCGAAAGAUGGUAUUGGAGGGGAAGAUUGCGACCUCGAUGUUGGCUUUAGAUAUCCUAGAGGCGUAGAAGCUUCU
rnacentral:rRNA from 1 species